rnacentral:rRNA from 1 species
UUAGCUUGCUAACAGGCGUCGAGUGGCGGACGGGUGAGUAACGCGUAGGAAUCUACAAUAGCGGGGGAUAGCCUGGAGAAAUCCGGAUUAAUACCGCAUAAUCUCUACGGAGUUAAAGAGGGCCUCUAUUUAUAAGCUUUCACUAUUUGAUGAGCCUGCGUAAGAUUAGCUUGUUGGUGAGGUAAAGGCUCACCAAGGCGACGAUCUUUAGCUGGUCUGAGAGGAUGAUCAGCCACACUGGGACUGAGACACGGCCCAGACUCC